rnacentral:rRNA from 1 species
CGUGUAGGCGGCCAGAUAGGUCCGUUGUGAAAACUCGAGGCUCAACCUCGAGACGCCGAUGGAAACCAUUUGGCUAGAGUCCGGAAGAGGAGAGUGGAAUUCCUGGUGUAGCGGUGAAAUGCGCAGAUAUCAGGAAGAACACCCGUGGCUAAGGCGGCUCUCUAGUACGGUACUGACGCUGAGACGCGAAAGCGUGGGGAGCGAACA